GCAUGGUUCAGUCGUAAAAAGACACAUUCGAUAUUCGGUUCUAAAAGAAUCAACUUCGUUGAAGAAAUCGACAGUCAAUUGGCAAUACAUUUUUUGAUCAUAUAUAAAAAAUAUUAUAUCACAAUGGCUACAGCAAGUGUGUCUGCAUCAAGCUGUAAAUACAAAUUCAACAUAAAAAAUCUUAACACAUUGGAUAACGUUUGUUCUGAGAAGUUUUUGGUUCAUGGCGUACCAUUUAAAUUUAAAGCUGAUAUACAGACCAGGUUUGCAGUAACUUGGCUGUAUAUGCAUUUGUUCUGUAAUGAGCAAGAACGACCGGAAAACUGGUCGAUUGGUGCAUUUGCAAAAUUCAGACUGCUGUCGCCUUUUGAUCGAGUUGGAAGGAUUGUUGAUGGGUAUCCUUUUGAUUACAACCCAUCUAUGGGGUUUGGCGUUCUUUCUUAUAUUACAUGGGACGAUUUGACGGACGUUGAAAAUGGUUUUGUAAUAGACGAUUCAAUCACUAUUGAAAUUGAAAUUCAACCCAACACAAGUAGACAUAUUGAACCAUGUUGUGAUAAAAAUCCCAUGGAUGUAGAUGGACUAACAGUCACCCAUGUCCGAUGUCAACUAGAUACAACACCAUAAAAUAUACUGAGACAUAAUCAACUCUAAAUCAGUUCAUCACCAACACCAGCUUGCGUCAAGUUCAAUGCAAAUCGUCAACUUUUUCGCCUAUUGAUUACCCAUUCGCAUUUAAACGAUUUUUUUCAAACUUUCAUUCGAAGAAAAUAUUUCCACAUUUCUCCAUUACAACGCAUUGAUAAUUCCAUUAAAUAAGGAAAGAGAGGUUAAAUUUCUAGAAAGAACACAAUUCCUAUAAAAGAAUAAAAUUAUUAUUACAAUCAUAACACGUGUUCAACUUGCAAAGAUCCCGUUACUCUGGACAAUUUGCGGCGAACUUAUCCACUAUCUACUAGAUUCAGCGAUGGAUACAACACGAUCAAAUAUACUGAGACGUAAUCAACUCUAAAUAAACUCUUACGGACUGUAUCAGUUCAACAUCAACACCAGCUUGCGUCAAGUUGUAUUUAUAAUUUCAAUCUAAGUUUUGUGUGCAAUUAAACAAUUUUUUAAAAACUUUCAUUCUAAGAAAA